AAUAAAAUCUAUUCGCGCUCUCCCUUUUUUCCCACUCUUUUCGCUAAAAAUGAAAAUCCCCAGAUCCCUUCAGAUCUCUAUCCCUCGGUGAGAUCGAGUAACGAUGCUUCGUCGGUGUGUGAGAUCAUUGAAUCAAAGCUGAUCUGCUCUCACUUUACAACCCUAAUUGCUAACAAGGAGGCUCGGUCCCGUCGCGAGAUCGUGACCGGAACGGCGGCAAGUAUGUGGUGGUUCUGAAUCCUGAUGGCGGCAGCUGAAGAUAAUUUAGGGUUUAUUCUUCGAUUUCAUUUGACUUGUGGGUAAUUAUUUAGGGUGUUUCGUUGAUUUGUACUGACGUUUCUUCAACUCGAUGAAUUCCGACCCUUCCAACCCUAGGUUUGAAUUCUUUGAUUUCCUUUGACUCGAAGGUAAUAAUGUAGGGUGUAUCUUAAAUUAGUUUUGACGUCUCCACAAAUCGAAGAAUUCGGACUCUUCCAAGCCUUGGUUUGAAUUCUUCGAUUUUCAUUGACGUGAGGGUAAUUAUUUUUGGUGUAUCUUAGAUUAAUUUUGACAUUUCCUCGUGUCCUCUUUACAUGGCAUUUAGGUAUGGCUGCUUCAUUUCCGCUUCUGAAGCUGCAAGAGAUGGUGGCAUUCUUAUUGGAGCUAUGCAUAAAUCAGAUGGUUAGUUUUCUUUCAGGUUCCUAUGAUUAUGUACGCUAUCUGGCUCCCCCCCCCUCCCCGCUGCUUUCAGGUAAUCACUCCUUCACUAUGUCAGGAGACCAUGGUAACAUCAUGAUCUGCAGCCAAUCUCUGGUAGAUGGCUACUGGUGCUCCUGACAUGGUGGAGAAGCGAUUACCUGAAGCAAAGAGGAGGGUAUGCAGGUACCGGUCAUUAUCAUAGGAAUCCUAGAAAGUUGCAUAACAGCCAACUUCAGUUCUGGAGCGGUCAAGUGCAGAUAUUAAUAAUGUUAGAUUGAAUGUACAAGGAGUUGGGAUUCUCAAAUAUAGUUACACAUCGUAGCGGAUAACAAGUAUGCUUGGACUUUUGCCCUUCACACUAUCGAAUUACCUGCCUCCAUCGAAUGUCAGCUCUGAGCGUGUAUGCCCAAUGCAUGAUUAUUCUUUGAUUAAUCGGUCCAAAUGUGUGUUGAAAUUUUGGUAAAAAUAAAUUCAGCACAAACCCACUAUAAGUAGUCAAAAGUCAUCAUCCCAUACAAUGGGUACAACACUGCAA